GCACUUUCCACUGCCAAAAUCCUUCGACCCUAAGGGCAGUCUUUCUUCUCUUACGUGUAAGAUGGGAAAAUUAUUUUGAAUUUAUUUAUUUACCAAUCUUCAGCUUUAUGUGAGAUAUCGCUCACAUGUCAAAAAGUCGGACAUUAGUUUGGCGAGAGGAAAAGUAGCUCACUCACUGAAAAUAAUGCCUAGAGGUUAGAAAAUGAUGUAGAAGAAACAGUGAGAAAUACCGGCGACGGCUUGAUAGCAGCAUGUUUCAUAUGAGCAGAUGGCGUCAGCGAGUAGGACUUGCAUCGCAGACAGGAAAGGACUUAGGACUUCAAUCGAGGGAAAGGACGGACUGACGGUGACUGGUGGAGGAGAUAAUAAUAACAUGACACCUGCUGACCCACUGAUGAUGGCGUCAGCGAGUAGGACUUGCAUCGCCGUAAAAAGGACUUAGGACUUCAACCGAGGGAAAGGACCGACUGACUGACUGGUGGAGCUGACGGACUGGUGGAGGAGAUAAUAAUAACAUGACAAACCCACUGUGUUGGUUUUCUCAUGGCGGGGCUCAUUCUGGUGUGCAUCCACGC